CAAAACUUUAUGCCAAACGUAGAUUUUUUUUUCUGCCUCUUUAAAACAUUUAAGUGAUUUAAUUUGCCAAAAGUAGCAAAAUAAUUCUUAAUGCAUUUAUUUUUGUUGUCCAAACAAGCAGCUUUGAGAGUCUAUAGGUUUAAGGACUUUCAAAAGCUUUACUUUCUUCAAUACAGUAAGACAAUCAUGUUUGCCCUUGUAAAUGAGGAAAAGUAUGAGGUAAUGGUUAUUAAAAGAAGGAUUCUGGUCAGGCACAAUGGCUCACGCCUGUAAUCCCAGCACUGUGGGAGGCUGAGGUGGGCGGAUCACCUGAGGUCAGGAGUUUGAGACCAGGCCGACCAACAUGACAAAUCCCCGUCUCUACCAAAAAUACCAAAAUUAGCCUUGUGUGGUGGUGGGUGCCUGCAAUCCCAACUACUUGGGAGGCUGAGGCAGGAUAAUUGCCUGAACCCAGAAGGUGGAGGUUGUAGUGAGCGAAGAUCAUACCAUUGCCCUCCAGCCUGUGUGACAGAGUGAGACUCUGUCUCAAAAAAGAAGGAUUCUAUUUAGAACAGUUAGAGUCAAAGAACUUCCAGGCUAAUGGGAGAAACAGAUGAGUACCCAGUAAUGCUAUACAAUAAUCCCAUGUUAUACAAUUAGGUACUAUAAUUGAAGAUCUUAGAUGAAUUGUUAGCAAACACAUUAUUCUGAGCUUCUUUAAAAUUUGAAUUUCAUUUCAUUUGGUUCUGGGACAUAAAUAACUGUGACACUUAUGAACUCUAAGGUUGUAUUUAUAUCAGAAAGUCAGCUCUACAGAUCAAUACGCACAAGAUUAACAAUCUGAAGAGAAAUGGGCAAAAUGUAAGUAAAGAUUUCCACUUCACCCUAUAUGUUGGUUAUGGUCUUUGUGAUUUGAUUGCUUAUCCUGGAUGAGAAAUGCGUUGAAGAGCUCAGAUGGUGGACAUGCCAGGACUACUCAAGAAUUGAAGCUCUCCUUAAGGACAAUGUGGACAGUUCUUUUCAAUGGACUGGACAGUCUUACAUGUUUUCAGACUGGCCAAGGAACAGUUUAUUUUGCUGAGGUCACUAAAGCUUUUUUUUUUCUGCCUUCUGUCUGAGGAGAAAGGAGUAAGUAAAAAGAUAACUGUAAUCUAUAAAGGAAAUGGGAAGGAAUAAAAGGCAUUGUGAGUAUAUACUCUUUGGAAUGGAUGGUGUUUGAUUUAGUUUAGGCAUAAGAGUGGACUGCUGGAUUCCUUCCUCUUUGAACUCUUGUAUCUUCAAAUUUUAUUUGUAUCCAUCGUAGCUCUUUGCCUCCAGUCCCAGAUAAAGUGUCAUUUCUUUUGCAGAAGCGAAUGGCUUUACCGGCUUUCAGAAGCAUUUGCCUUCCAUCUCUGUCAACAUUGGGGUUUCCCUCCACCAGCAAUCACUUCUUCUAUUUGAUUUCUGUUCUCUUCCACAUUACUGCCUCCUGCCUCAAAGUUUAUGAGUCUAUAAGUUCUCUAAUUUACCCCAUCUCUGUAAAUCUACAAACAAAAUAAAUAUUAUUAAAGUCUA